UACGAAGGGGGCUAGCGUUGUUCGGAAUUACUGGGCGUAAAGGGCGCGUAGGCGGCCUCGUCCGUCCGGCGUGAAAUGCCUGGGCUCAACCUAGGAAUUGCGCUCGAUACAGCGAGGCUAGAGUGUGGGAGAGGUUGGUGGAAUUCCCAGUGUAGAGGUGAAAUUCGUAGAUAUUGGGAAGAACACCGGUGGCGAAGGCGGCGACCUGGUCCGAUACUGACGCUGAGGCGCGAAAGCGUGGGGAGCAAACAGG
rnacentral:rRNA from 1 species